rnacentral:ncRNA from 2 species
UGCGGAACGCGCAUUCGAGGUGCCCGACGCCGUUCCGGCCGAGGGUUGAACGGGAAGCAGGUGCGCGAGCUCCGCUCGCAAGGCCUGCGCUGCCCCCGCAACGGUAAGCAGACGACGCGCAUCGGUACGCCACUGGGCUCCGGCCUGGGAAGGCGAUGCGCCGCGACAGUGCUCCUGUCGCCACUGCGAGCCCGGAUACCGGCCACGGAUGCACGAGCGGU